rnacentral:rRNA from 1 species
GAUUGACCUCGGAUCAGGUAGGGAUACCCGCUGAACUUAAGCAUAUCAAUAAGCGGAGGAAAAGAAACCAACAGGGAUUGCCUCAGUAACGGCGAGUGAAGCGGCAACAGCUCAAAUUUGAAAUCCGGCCCCCCCGGGGCCCGAGUUGUAAUUUGCAGAGGGUGUUUCGGGCGAGGCACCGGCCUAAGUCCCUUGGAACAGGGCGUCCCAGAGGGUGAGAGUCCCGUACGCGGCCGGCGACCGAGUCCAUGUGAAACCCCUUCGACGAGUCGAGUUGUUUGGGAAUGCAGCUCUAAAUGGGUGGUAUAUUUCAUCUAAAGCUAAAUACCGGCCAGAGACCGAUAGCGCACAAGUAGAGUGAUCGAAAGAUGAAAAGCACUUUGGAAAGAGAGUUAAACAGCACGUGAAAUUGUUGAAAGGGAAGCGCUUGCAACCAGACCUGUCGUCGGGCGAUCAGCCGCCGUUCUCGGCGGUGCACUCGCCCGGUCGCAGGCCAGCAUCGGUUUGGGUGGCCGGACAAAGGCCCCGGGAACGUAGCUCCCUCCGGGGAGUGUUAUAGCCCGGGGCUGCCAUGCGGCCCACCUGGACCGAGGACCGCGCUUCGGCAAGGAUGCUGGCGUAAUGGUUGUCAGCGGCCCGUCUUGAAACACGGACCAAGGAGUCUAACAUCUAUGCGAGUGUUUGGGCGUCAAACCCAUGCGCGGAAUGAAAGUGAACGCAGGUGGGAACCCUGAAGGGCGCACCAUCGACCGAUNNNNAUGUCUUCGGAUGGAUUUGAGUAAGAGCAUAACUGUUGGG